ensembl:lncRNA
CAGUCCUGACCUGAAAUUUUGGGAGUUUUGGUAUCAUUUUUUUGUUAUCUUUUUUUGGUAAUCAUUUGGUAUUUCGUUUGAAAUAUUUAUCCUUUCAGUUUUUGUUAUUUACAAAAGCAACAAUUAAGCUAACACGAUCAAUGUCGUACUUUUGUUGUUCUUCCACUGAAAACGUUUUGUUGAUGAUGCUCACAAGGUCUCGUGUCCUCUGCGCCACGGUCUGCUUCGCGCGCUUUAUGCAGUGAAUGGGUUUCAUCUGGGUAACCUACUUCUUGAUGGGGAGGCGAGGAGAGAGCUCGGUUUGAUAGGAUGUCGGCGUAACUUGGCUAGAACGGCGCUUGAAAAGUAGCAACUGUUCUUGUGGAUGAGUGUGGCCUCUGAGGAAAGAGACAAAUGGGCUGUCGAGAGGAAGAGUUUGUCAUUUUAGUCUCCUCCAUACACAGGGUCUAUCUUUCAAGGCCUAUGAAUAACAGCACUACAAGAGAUCACUCCGCAGACUGCAUCAGCCCUCCUGUGUGUACUGGGAAGAAACCUGCUUUGGGGAGAGAAGGAGAGCUUGAGCUUC